CGCUGGCGGCGUGCUUAACACAUGCAAGUCGAACGGUGAACCAGAGCUUGCUCUGGGGAUCAGUGGCGAACGGGUGAGUAACACGUGGGCAACCUGCCCCAGACUCUGGGAUAACCUCGGGAAACCGAUGCUAAUACCGGAUACGACCACUUCGGACAUCCGACGGUGGUGGAAAGUUUUUCGGUCUGGGAUGGGCCCGCGGCCUAUCAGCUAGUUGGUGGGGUAAUGGCCUACCAAGGCGACGACGGGUAGCCGGCCUGAGAGGGCGACCGGCCACACUGGAACUGAGACACGGUCCAGACUCCUACGGGAGGCAGCAGUGGGGAAUAUUGCACAAUGGGCGAAAGCCUGAUGCAGCGACGCCGCGUGAGGGACGACGGCCUUCGGGUUGUAAACCUCUUUCAGCAGGGACGAAGCGAAAGUGACUGUACCUGCAGAAGAAGCACCGGCUAACUACGUG
rnacentral:rRNA from 1 species